GAUGAACGCUAGCGGCAGGCCUAACACAUGCAAGUCGAGGGGCAUCGCGGUGCAGCAAUGCACUGGCAGCGACCGGCGUACGGGUGCGUAACGCGUAUGCAACCUGCCCCGCACCGGGGGAUAGCCCGCCGAAAGGCGGAUUAAUACCCCAUGGUCCCGGGGGCCCGCAUGGGCAUCCGGGUAAAGCCUUGGCGGUGCGGGAUGGGCAUGCGUGCCAUUAGCUGGCUGGUGGGGUAACGGCCCACCAGGGCAACGAUGGCUAGGGGGUCUGAGAGGAUGGUCCCCCACACUGGUACUGAGACACGGACCAGACUCCUACGGGAGGCAGCAGUGAGGAUAUUGGUCAAUGGGCGGAAGCCUGAACCAGCCAUGCCGCGUGCGGGAUGAAGGCCCUACGGGUUGUAAACCGCUUUUCCCCGGGAAGAUAAGCCCCCGCGGGGUGAUGCCGGUACCGGGGAAUAAGGAUCGGCUAACUCCGUGCCAGCAGCCGCGGUAACAUACUCGUA
rnacentral:rRNA from 1 species